GUGCGGAUUGAAAGGGCCGUGUAAAUGAAUUGAUCUGAAUGAUGUGUGGGAACUGGUUUGUUAACAACUCAUGGACCGCUGAUGGUUUUUUCCAGCCGGUGAGCCUUGAUGUCUGUAAUGGGAGCACUUGUUGGUGUAUAUUUGGGACAGUAGUGCACUCAGCAGUGAAAUGCGUCGCACCUGAACUCAGCACCUGCUGCUCUUCAGCCGAAUAGACACGAGCUUCAGACUCACACCCGAGAUAAUCAGACAGCUUUUCAUGCUUUGAUUCCUCUCAUCACUGAACACACAGGUCAGACACGCAUGAGCUGAUUCUGUGCAGGAAGCUGGAUGUGCUGUUUUAUGAAUGAAUGGAAUCGGUCAGAGGUUCAUAACUCGCCA